CAUAGGAGAAGCCUCAAACUCAAGUCUUGGAAAGAGGCUCUGAACUUCUUCAGGUCUUCAUCACCAUGAACUUCCAAGAAUGUACCUCUUCCGUGUCUCCAAGCAUCCUGCAAGGUCUUCCAAGGUAGAGCUUAUCCCUAUACCCAAGGGAUAAAGGGACAGACUUCUUAAUUUGGCCAUGAGAGGGCAGCUCAGCUCACCCCAGAGGUUGCAGAUACCCUUCCUCUAGGGUUGUUGGAAUCCACUCUUACACCGCCUGAAUCACUCCAGGGCUCCUGACCCACGGAUGGCCUAGAAUUGGGGCAGGCCUCCUAGGGCCACUCCAGCCAGAGGCAGGGCUCAGCCAGGUUCCACACCAGCCUGGCUCCCUGUCCCCAGGUACUGGCUGAGGCCUCUGAGAAGGAUGCUGUUUCCUGUUGUUUUGCUGCCAAAAGGAGCCAGGAUGUUCCCCUGCCGCCCCCCGGGAACUGGGUGCUGCGAGUGUCCACUCUGUGCCAGGCAGCUGGAUGCAUAGGUCUAAGCACAGAGGUAGGUAAAAGUAGCCUGGAGUAAGCAGAGUGAUGCCCUG
ensembl:lncRNA